GAUGAACGCUGGCGGCGUGCCUAAUACAUGCAAGUCGAGCGAACAGACGAGGAGCUUGCUCCUCUGACGUUAGCGGCGGACGGGUGAGUAACACGUGGAUAACCUACCUAUAAGACUGGGAUAACUUCGGGAAACCGGAGCUAAUACCGGAUAAUAUAUUGAACCGCAUGGUUCAAUAGUGAAAGACGGUUUUGCUGUCACUUGUAGAUGGAUCCGCGCCGCAUUAGCUAGUUGGUAAGGUAACAGCUUACCAAGGCAACGAUGCGUAGCCGACCUGAGAGGGUGAUCGGCCACACUGGAACUGAGACACGGUCCAGACUCCUACGGGAGGCAGCAGUAGGGAAUCUUCCGCAAUGGGCGAAAGCCUGACGGAGCAACGCCGCGUGAGUGAUGAAGGUCUUCGGAUCGUAAAACUCUGUUAUUAGGGAAGAACAAAUGUGUAAGUAACUAUGCACGUCUUGACGGUACCUAAUCAGAAAGCCACGGCUAACUACGUG
rnacentral:rRNA from 1 species